UACAGAGACCUCAAGCGUUAUCCGGAAUCAUUGGGCGUAAAGCGUGCCGAUAGGUGGUUUGGUUAGUCUUGGGUGAAAUCCCGAGGCUCAACUUCGGGUUUGCUUAAGAUACUGCCAGACUAGAGGGGCAAAGAGGAGACUGGAACGAACGGUGUAGUAGUGAAAUGCGUUGAUAUCGUUCGGAACACCGAAAGCGAAGGCAGGUCUCUGGGUGCCUCCUGACACUGCUAGGACGAGAGCGUGGGUAGCGAAUGGG
rnacentral:rRNA from 1 species